rnacentral:rRNA from 1 species
AACGAACGCUGGCGGCAUGCCUAACACAUGCAAGUCGAACGAGACCUUCGGGUCUAGUGGCGCACGGGUGCGUAACGCGUGGGAACCUGCCCUUAGGUUCGGAAUAACUCCCCGAAAGGGGUGCUAAUACCGGUUAAUGUCUUCGGACCAAAGAUUUAUCGCCUUUGGAUGGGCCCGCGUUGGAUUAGCUAGUUGGUAGGGUAAAAGCCUACCAAGGCGACGAUCCAUAGCUGGUCUGAGAGGAUGAUCAGCCACACUGGGACUGAGACACGGCCCAGACUCCUACGGGAGGCAGCAGUGGGGAAUAUUGGACAAUGGGCGAAAGCCUGAUCCAGCAAUGCCGCGUGAGUGAUGAAGGCCUUAGGGUUGUAAAGCUCUUUUACCCGGGAUGAUAAUGACAGUACCGGGAGAAUAAGCACCGGCUAACUCCGUG